AGCCAGGCAUCUGUAUAAUUUUAAAAAAUAUGCACUGAUGGAUACUUGCACAAAACAUUUUUCCCCACCAGCUCAGAAAAUGCUUAAAAGUCAGCAUAUUCCAUCUGGGCCUUCAUAACACACACAUACAUACACGUGUUAAUGUUAAGCUGGAGGUCAUAGAGAAGUGACUUAGGGGUUUGUCUGACUGGGCCUCUUGAAGCAUGGCCUUUGCAUUCCAGCGCUUAGACAAGAGCCAGCGGCUCUUAUGAGCAAGGGAGAGAGAGGAAGUUUCUGCGGGGAAGGGAUUAUGCGCAGUUUCCUCACUCGCGAGCUUCGCCUCCUCCCCCUCCUGCCCUCGCUCAACGCUCCAUAAAGUAUGUCGGAAAAGCACUGUAAACUUAAACCUGCUCCUCAGGUACACAACCCCGCGGACAGGAUUAUACUUUCCGCACUUCUCCGGACAUCUUUUUCUACUCUUUACUUUCAGCCCUUUUUAAGUCAUGUGGUGAAGAAAGGGCCAAUCUCAUUGGAGGGCGGACCGGGAGAAACAUUACAGCUGCACAAUGCCGAAGCCGGUUUUCUGCUUGACAGGCACUUAAAGCGAUUCCACUCGUGGAUGAGGUAGGGGGAGCCGCGUGUGUGUGUAGGGGUAAUAGAUUGUUCGCAGGAAGGGGGAAGGUCGUUUCCAAGUUUUUGCGUGGUCUAGACAGCAGUUAUUCGAAAACCUUAAAUGGAAUAGGCUGUGAGGAUGCUUUACUACCUUUCAUGUUACUCAGAAGCUAAAUCAUGUUUCCAGAGAUCAAUCAUGAGUCGGUCCUGAUGAUGAUAGCUUUGCUUCAAAAUGUCUUUGCUCUGAUUAUGAAAAGCAGCCUGCGGUGUUUAAGCGAAGCUCCUCAGACUUAGCACGUCCCCACGUAGAUGAGCUGAAAGUGAGCCGAGGAAGAGGAUGAGAGCUGAAUCCUAAUGGGAAGAACGGGAGGGGUACAGGGAGCCUAUGCAGACAAAAGCCCCAUGCUUUUCCAAAUUUACCUGUCACAGACACUACCUGACUUUCUCCCAACAAUGCCUUCUCUAUUGUUCGCUUCUCUAAACUCUUUUCCACCAAAACUUUAUUUGAAUGAGGCUGGUUAAAACGAAGCAUUCCUCUAAGUUUCUAUUUGGCAGAAAGGCUUACGAACAGGUUUUCAGUGCAUAUAAUUCUCGACUGUCACUUCAGAGUUUUAUUUGCUUGCCCUAGCAGCAUGCGUCAGAUUUGCGUCAGGCACAAACCUGACAACUGUGGGACUCUUAAUCUCAUAUGGAUGUGAUGCCGAGAAAGCCAAGUCAAACAUGCUUUGAAGUAAGGCAGAGAUAUUAAGCAAACUAAAACACAAAUACACCUCUUUGUACUUUGCAAAGCACCAGUAUAAAAAGUCAUUGAUUUUGUAAUAUAAAUGCCUAUUCUCUUCCUCCUAAAAUAAUAUAUCCUCAUAAUAAAAAAUUGAUUAGGUCCCACUAUGUUGCUUACAGAAACACACUUUAAAUUGUAUUUAUCUGUCAAAUAAUACAAAAGCAUACUGUACUGGAGGGAGUUAUGAAUGUUUUAAAGCUGGUAGCCUAAGGGUUGGAAAGAUGACUGCCUCUCUCCCUUCACCAGGCCCCUGUCUAAUUAUACAUUCCAGUGAGAGAUCUCCACUCAGAUGACCUGUGCUCCACAUCCACAAAUUCAUAUUUCAACCGUAAGCCACCUCAGAAGGACCCAAAUGAGAAAAAUUCAUCUUGUUGAUGUUGAUAUAUGUAUACUUCUAAUACGUAUAAAUGAUGAAAAUGUAUGAACCGCAUACCACAAAUGUAUGAGCCACAGACGUUAAAGUUAACCAAAUGGUAUUGCUCAGAAAACAUGAGCCCAUUUGUGUGCUGAACUCUGAAGACUUGCCAAAACCACAAAAACCAAGGCCCAAAGCCUUUUACCUGGCCCACAGGGACGUUAAGAUUUGCAGAAGGCGUCCAUACGCUCUGUUUCUACAUUUCAUCCAAAAGUGCUGAUGUUGUACCUGGUGCUCGCCAGCGCUGUUUUCAUGUUUUCCUCCCGUUUCUAGAAUAAAUAUGACAAGGAAAGUUAGUGCUGAUGCUGGAUGCUUUGUUCAUAACUUAAGUGUUUGCACAUGUUCUCAAAUUAUUUUUAGACUCGGUAUGUGUGCCAAAUAAACCAUGAGAAAUUCUGCAGAGAAAUGACAGAUGUAUGUAAUGACAUGAUUUAUGACCUGCCUCGUGUGUCUUUGAAAAA